rnacentral:rRNA from 1 species
AUUCUCCUACGGGGCGCAGCAGUGAGGAAUAUUGGUCAAUGGGCGGAAGCCUGAACCAGCCACGUCGCGUGAGGGAAUAAGGCCCUACGGGUCGUAAACCUCUUUUGCCGGGGAGCAAGGGCCGGGACGCGUCCCGGCCCGGAGAGUACCCGGAGAAAAAGCAUCGGCUAACUCCGUGCCAGCAGCCGCGGUAAUACGGAGGAUGCUAGCGUUAUCCGGAUUUAUUGGGUUUAAAGGGUGCGUAGGCGUGCUUUUAUGUCAGCGU